rnacentral:rRNA from 1 species
UGCCAGCCGCCGCGGUAAUACGAGGGGUGCUAGCGUUGUCCGGAAUCAUUGGGCGUAAAGGGUCCGUAGGCGAUCUAACAAGUCAACUGUUAAAUACAUCGGCUUAACCGAUGAAAUGCGAUUGAAACUGUUAGAAUAGAGUUUAGGAGAGGAAAGUGGAAUUUCUGGUGUAGCGGUGACAUGCGUAGAUAUCAGAAGGAACACCAAUGGCGAAGGCAACUUUCUGGCCUAAAACUGACGCUGAGGGACGAAAGCGUGGGGAGCGAACAGGAUUAGAUA